rnacentral:rRNA from 1 species
GCUUUACUGUAGCCUGAUAUUGAGUUUGGGUUUAUUUUGCGCAGUAUAGGUGGGAGGCUAAGAAAAUAUAUUUGUGGAUAUAUUAGAGCCGAUAGUGAGAUACCACUCUAAUUAAACUAGAAUUCUAACCUUGAUUGCCAUUAGCUGGCCAAGGAACAGUUUCAGGUGGGCAGUUUGACUGGGGCGGUCGCCUCGUAAAAGGUAACGGAGGCGCGCAAAGGUUUCCUCAGGCUGGUCGGAAAUCAGUCGUAGAGUGUAAAGGCAUAAGGAAGCUUGACUGCAAGACUUACAAGUCGAGCAGAGACGAAAGUCGGCCUUAGUGAUCCGACAGUGCUGAGUGGAAAGGCUGUCGCUCAACGGAUAAAAGUUAC